rnacentral:tRNA from 1 species
GGGGAUGUAGCUCAGUGGCAAAGCACAUGCUUACCACGUGUGAGGCCCUGGGUUCAACCCCCGACACUGCCA